rnacentral:rRNA from 1 species
GACGAACGCUGGCGGCGUGCUUAACACAUGCAAGUCGAACGGAAAGGCCCUGCUUUUGUGGGGUGCUCGAGUGGCGAACGGGUGAGUAACAUGUGAGUAACCUGCCCUUGACUUUGGGAUAACUUCAGGAAACUGGGGCUAAUACCGGAUAGGAGCUCCUGCUGCAGGGUGGGGGUUGGAAAGUUUCGGCGGUGUGGGAUGGACGCGCGGCUUAUCAGCUUGUUGGUGGGGUAGUGGCUUACCAAGGCAUUGACGGGUAGCCGGCAUGAGAGGGUGACCGGCCACAUUGGGACUGCGAUACGGACCAGACUCCUACGGGAGGCAGCAGUGGGGAAUAUUGCCCAGUGGGCGGAAGCCUGAUGCAGCAACGCCGCGUGCGGGAUGACGGCCUUCGGGUUGUAAACCGCAUUCGCCUGUGACGAAGCGUGAGUGACGGUAAUGGGUAAAGAAGCACCGGCUAACUACGUG